rnacentral:ribozyme from 1 species
AAACAGAAAUGCAAACGGAUUAUCAAGGAAAUUUUCACAGAUAGUUAGCUAAAUCUUUUAAAUACAUUUCUUACUUUCGUAUAUUUCCUUUUCCUUGUUGCAGUU